rnacentral:rRNA from 1 species
GAGUCCCUACGGGAGGCAGCAGUGGGGAAUAUUGCACAAUGGGGGAAACCCUGAUGCAGCGACGCCGCGUGAGUGAGGAAGUAUUUCGGUAUGUAAAGCUCUAUCAGCAGGGAAGAAAAUGACGGUACCUGACUAAGAAGCCCCGGCUAACUACGUGCCAGCAGCCGCGGUGAUACGUAGGGGGCAAGCGUUAUCCGGAUUUACUGGGUGUAAAGGGAGCGUAGACGGAGGAGCAAGUCUGAUGUGAAAAUCCGGGGCCCAACCCCGGAACUGCAUUGGAAACUGUGCAGCUGGAGUGCAGGAGG